UGCAGUGGCUGUCGUCAGCUCGUGUCGUGAGAUUGUUAGGGUUAACGUACCCGUAACGACGCGCAACCCUUGUCCUUAGUUACCAGCACGUUAUGGUGGGCACUCUAAGGAGACUGCCGGUGACAAACCGGAGGAAGGUGGGGAUGACGUCAAGUCAUCAUGGCCCUUACGGCCUGGGCUACACACGUGCUACAAUGGUCGGUACAAAGGGUUGCCAAGCCGCGAGGUGGAGCUAAUCCCAUAAAACCGAUCGUAGUCCGGAUCGCAGUCUGCAACUCGACUGCGUGAAGUCGGAAUCGCUAGUAAUCGUGAAUCAGAAUGUCACGGUGAAUACGUUCCCGGGCCUU
rnacentral:rRNA from 1 species